GUCAGUAGCCACAUUGCAACAUGGCGGACUCCCAGCAAGUAGUUUCUUCUCAGCGGACAGACCCAAAAGAAGGAUCACGGGUGCUUCAUGUACUCUGAACGAGGACAUCGAUGCUAUUCUGCCUUUCUGUUCGAACGGGUUUACCCUAACACCACCCAGGAACCAAGCGACAUAUUUCCGCCCCAAACAGGGCACAACAUCGGCGCAAGUGCUUUGCGCAGAAUCCCCCAGGCCCAAAAAGUUACUUCUUCAAGAAACGGCCCUACACGGACAUGACUCCUCCCCGGCGUAUGACGGCACAGAAGACCAUACACACCGAGAACCCGCGGAGGAUUUCGGAGCGCCUGACAUUCACAAUAAAACAAUGAAACCGGAUGAUUUCAAUGUUUUAAAUGACAUUUCACAGGUAGACGACUAAAACGCAAAUACGGGCGCUAAAACCAGUUACCGAAAUGGACGUGCCUAUAAUUGAGACAGUUGAAAGCCUUUUGGCGAAAAUACCCCCGAUC
rnacentral:lncRNA from 1 species